UUUGGCGAUCUACCGGGAGCUGGCGAUCGACGUAAUGGCCACCCUUGAUCUAAAUGAUUCCAAUGAUUUCUAGUGAUAUACCAGUCAUUACGGUAAUCGUAAGGAAGCGAUAGGAGUGGGUCGGGUGGGCAGAGCAGGCAGCUGGAGCGUGUGACACAGAGACACGGAAGGCAAGCUUUCUACAACAAUAAUGCUCUGCAGAAAGGUCGGUGGCUCCAGCCAGGGUGAAGAGAGCGAGGCUGAGGUGGAAAUGUUGCUGGAUGAUAAGGUGACCCAAGAAAGGAGCAAGAAUAAUCCGACACACACACAGCAGGUUGGGGAUAGUCCACGGGUUCUCGUACUGAAGAAUCACGUAAUGUUAAUUAAUCAAUGUCUUUAACAGAAUGAUACUUCAGUGAAGAUACUCACCAGUUCUUUAAACUUAAAGAGCCCCUGUCCAGGUACCUGAGGGUCUUCACUAGGUCUGUCCGGUGCUUCAUUGUUCUUGCCGCAAAGACCUCGAGCUCCUGUGGCCAGCAGAGAGCGGAAGUUUACAGCCAACCUACUGUGACCUCCAUGGUGAAGCAGCACAUCUCCACACAGCCGCCACGUCGACGGCUGUACAACGCCACGCCGGAUGAGGCAACACGGGCGUUGACGAGUCGCUUGGCAGCGCUGCGCUGACUCAUGCCUGCUCCCAGUUGGGAGCGUUCAAAGUCCAGAUUGCCGAGACCAUCUGAGUACGUAUCCACGAGGCUGCUCAAACACAACAGCACAGAGAGUCAGAGGUGGGACUACACAGCUGUCUUAUCUUUGCAAUUGAAGCUUAGGUGUGUAGGCAUGUUACUCCCACAAUCUCAAAAUGAUUUCAAGUUUGAGCCACAGCUUUGGUUGGCUGGUCUGCUUUGAGGAGCCCACCAAACACCAUCCUGUCUGUGAUGGCCAUAAAGAUGUCCCUGUGACUUCUACCUGUGUUUCAUAAUCUCUACCACAUCCUCAGCAUCGCUCUUGGUGGCUGUCUCUCUGAGAUCCAGUCUGGCUCUCGCCUGCAUGAAAGCAACAUUGACACAUAAGGGUUCCUUUUUAAUGUCAUACAAUAUCUAGAGUGAGGUGUUGUAUGAUGCGAGAUGACUGACGCUACUACCUCUGUGAGUCUGAUGAGUGACUCCAGCUGGCGAGUGGUGAUGGGUGUGCAGUCAGCAGAGAGCGACUGAGACCUCAGUGACAGGUAGAAGUCUUGGAGCGUUUGUGCAGCUUCAGGAGAGAGCACUGGGUGCACGUAAUGGCGAGCAUAGCUGAUGUACUUCCUUAACAAGCAUGCUGGAAUGGGGUCAGAAGUUUCACCUGCAGGGAUCUUCAAAACAACAGUGGCUGUCUCAAUUGUCACACUUUGUACUUACACUUCGUCUUUUCAGUGGGUAGGUGCAUUCACAAUGAGAAGUACAGCAAAAUGCAGUGUGCUGUCAGUACCCGGAUGUUGCACUCAAAACGCCCUAAAUGGCAACAGCACAGUGCUGGACACUUACCACCCGCAAAAAUCACCAUCAUGGUUGCGUACCGGAAGGGGGACUACUAAGCAAAAAGGGAUGGCGUAAUCGCUGCCUCGUUUCAAGGAGGUGGUACACGCAAUCCAGAAGAAAUAAUACCACUAGGCCUUUCACGAUAACAAAUUUUGCUGGUCGAUAAUUGUGCAAUAAAUUAUCAACAAUAAUAGAUAAUUUCAACCUUUUUUAGACCAUCUU